AAACAACAUACACAAAAAGAUGAAGCUCAAAAGGCGCAAUUCCAUUACAUCUCUGGAAAUCUCCAUCGUUAAACAACCCAGAUGCGCAAAGAGAUGACUACAAUUCAGCUUUAUACUUUCAGGGAUUUGUAUGCUACAAGGAUCAAAAUUGUCAUGUUCAUCUGAUUUUAAGAACCUUGGCACUGCUUGUGGGGCUGUCUGAAAGGUGGGGCGAUUGAGGAGGACAUUUACCAAACUAUUCUGGUUUGAUUUCCUGCCAGAAAGAACAGUUCAUGAACCAAUAUUGGUUCACUACUGGUUUUAGUAUUGGACACUGUUAUGGGCCACAAGAAGUAAGCCUACCUAACCAAUUCUUUAUUCUUAUUAGUGUCAAAUUGGAGGUGAUUAGACCUGAUUAGACUUUUAGUAGACAUAAUAACGUGCUUUUGCCACUGAUUUUGUAGCUGGGAUCAUGAGUUGUGCGAUUUGGAGGUUGAAAUUGCAUCAAACCAAUCAUUUGAUUAAACAAAUUCAAACAUAUAAUUAUUCAACUUUUUUAAAGAAGGGUUCUUUGAUUCUGUCCGUUGAUUGAUUUAGCUUUCAUUUCUUAUUGUAGGUAAGAAGUUGUUUAUAUCUGGGUCGAGACGAACCACCUGAGAUCGUAAAAGAUCGAAAUUGCUAUUUUGGUGUUUCUUCAUUCGCCAGAGAUGCCAUAGCUGGCUUUGAAAAAGAGAGAGUUUGAUGUGAUUUGAAUACAACAUUUGACAUAUAGCCUAUCGCAAGUUGUGCAACAAAACAAGGCUAUGAUAUUCAUUCCCCUAUAUACCUAGAGUGUAGCAAAUUAUUCAUAAUUGUAACUUCUGCUAGUAGGAUCAAAUCUCUUGAAAUUGUUAUUAUCAUGUUGUAGGAAAAAUGUACUGAAGCUCGAAGUCAAUUAAGGUCAACUUGAGUCGUCACAAGGAACACCCAAAGUGUUGGGACGGACCCUGGCUAAAUCAAGUACUUUUAGCUGAUUUCUCAUA